UACAGAGGUCUCAAGCGUUGUUCGGAUUCAUUGGGCGUAAAGGGUGCGUAGGUGGCGCCGUAAGUCAGGUGUGAAAUUUCGGAGCUUAACUCCGAAACUGCAUUUGAUACUGCGGUGCUUGAGGACUGGAGAGGAGACUGGAAUUCCCGGUGUAGCGGUGAAAUGCGUAGAUAUCGUAAGGAAGACCAGUGGCGAAGGCGGGUCUCUGGACAGUUCCUGACACUGAGACACGAAGGCCAGGGGAGCAAACGGG
rnacentral:rRNA from 1 species